UACAGAGGGGGCGAGCGUUGUUCGGAAUUACUGGGCGUAAAGGGCGCGUAGGCGGCCUUCUAAGUCGAACGUGAAAUCCCCGGGCUCAACCCGGGAACUGCGUCCGAUACUGGGAGGCUUGAAUCCGGGAGAGGGAUGUGGAAUUCCAGGUGUAGCGGUGAAAUGCGUAGAUACUGGGAGGAACACCAGUGGCGAAGGCGGCUACCUGGACCGGUUCUGACGCUGAUGCGCGAAAGCGUGGGUAGCAAACAGG
rnacentral:rRNA from 1 species